rnacentral:rRNA from 1 species
AUCAGCCUUUCGGGUGCGAUUCUGUGGGGUUUGAGGAGCUUAACACCUUCAUGCUUUGCAUUUUCGCCGCUCUUGGGUGUACUUGCCCGUGUGGUUGGUUAACAUCAAUUUUGGUGGUCAUAAAAUGACUGGAGGAAUGUAGCUUCGAUCUUGUAUUGAAGUGUUAUAGCCUUCGGUAGAUGUGAUGAUCGAGAUUGAGGAUUGCAACGGAUACCCUUCGGGGCUACCUGUCUGAUCUCUGAUCGUUGUUCUGGUGCCGAAAGCUUGCUUACGGUUAUCAAAGUCGAUGGUCAAUAGGUUAGAACGGGUUAAAUUCGUUAAGGAUGUUGACGUAAUGGCUUU